rnacentral:lncRNA from 1 species
UUGGGCUGGAAGGCACCUUUAAAGGUUAUCUAGUCCAACCUCCCUGCAAUAAGCAGGGCAUCUUCAACUAGACCAGGUUGUUCAGAGCCCUUGAAUAUUUCCAGACAUGGGCCAUCCACAACUUCUCUGACCAACAUGUUUCAGUGUUUUACCACUCCCACUGUAAAAAAAAAUUUCUUUAUAUCUAAUCUAAACCAAAUCUCCUUUAGUUUUAAACCAUUGUUCUCGUUCUAUUGCAACAUAUCCUACUAAAAGGUUUGUUGUCAUCUUUUUUACAGGUCCCCUUUAGGUACCAGAAAGUUGCUGUGAGGUCUCCCUGGAGCCUUCUCUUCUCCACGCUGAACAGUCCCAAAUCUCUCACCCUGUCUUCACAGGAGAAGUGCUCCAGCCCUCUGAUUGCCUUUGUGGCCUCCUCCGGACUCAUUCCAACAGGUCCAUGGACUCAGGAGUCCAGAGCCAUUGCAGAGCUUCCAUCAAUGCUGCACUUGAGGUCGUGACAACAUUAUGGGACAGAGAACACACCAAGGAAAUGCAAACCAAUUUGCUUCUAGUGGGCUCUAGAAAAGCCUCUCAUUACAGCUGGGCUGACUGCAGUGAUGUGAUGCCAAGUCCUCUGCCCUGCCAGUUUUUUGUGUACCUGAAUACUGUGAAAAACUAUCCUCAGAGAAAAAUAAAGCGAGUCUGACCCGCUCCAGAAGGAAGGCUUUGAUACCACAGACUUUUCCAGGGGUGAUUCGAAUUACUGUUUACAUUCAUGAUCAGCUCCAGGAAGAAAGUUUGUUCCCUCUUUUGCAAGCACUUCUGUAUUUACAUGCACAAGAAUAUUUGAGCCCAAAAGCUUUGACUUGGCAUCAUUGAUGCAAUGCACUAUAAAUUUCAGAUAUACUCCCAUUUAGACUCCUCUGAAAUGCCCAAGGAUUUUUCUCCAUUUGACAUCAAGAUAACUGGCCUGGCCUCUGCAACUUUCUCAAGUACUCCUGGAAGAGAGGAAUGGCCAAAACAAUCUCCCACUGGAUGGCCUGGGGGGAAAAUUUGUGGAUACUAGGAUAGUAGAAGGUGAAGCAGGUAAAACCUCUGAGGAACAGAUUCCAAGCUCUGCUCAUUUGACAGCUGUUUUCACUGGAAUAUCCUCUAACACUGAGUCAGAAGAAAUGUUCCUGAAAAGUCCAUAAUUCCAAAUAGUUUUACGCACCAUCCUUCAUUCAUUCUGAUGAUGGAAGGAAAAAGUCAAGGGCUGUGUUAAUUAGUUUCUUUUCUGAAAUGGACUAUAAAUAUAGUUAGAAGAUGUAGAGCAGAAGAGCAAACUGUGGCCUUCUGUGGUGGUACAUUAAUUUUGCUGGUUUAAGAUUUCCAGUAGAAACAGAAAAAAAUCUGGUUAUCCACAUUCACUCUGUUUUCCAGGAUCAAUGGCUUAUUUUACUGAAGUUUUACAUAGAGUGUUGCACAAUGGAGGUAUUUAUGAUGCAAUAAACUACAAGAUGGCAGACA